CAAUGUUUAACUGAAGAACCAUGUUUUAAAAUCGUACAAUAUCGUCACAACAAUCCAAGUCGUCGAACAAUUAAUAAAUAACGCUCUUCUAAGAGAUGAUAAGUAUUGGGUCUUGUUACUCUUAUCUAAUAAUGAAGAUACACAGAUUUAAAUUAUUUCAUGGUCAAAAAUAAAUAAUUGUUUUAGACUUAACGACGAAAGGUGUAUUGAUCAUAUUAUUGUUAUAGUUACGGGUUUCAUGUCAUCCAAUGAAGUUGCCGAACUUUUAAUACCAAUUUUGGCAAUGUAGUGCAUACAGAGCUUAAAAAAGACGAUUAUAUGUACCUCAUAGGUAAAUGCUUCUCGUGAAGCCUACAAAGCAUUUACCCAUCGUAAGAAGUCAUUUAAAUACGCUGUCGUAAUUCUUUUAUUGAAGUGGAUUCAGCAAACUUAUAAAUCAAGGGUUCAAAUUGAUCCAUUUAUUAAUUUCAACAAAAACUGUUCAACAUGCAAUUUAAAAUCAAAGUUUCUUUAUCGCAAUAUUUUUGUCUAGCGUGCUGGUACGAAGAACAUAGUGAUGUUUUAUACCAAGGUGAUGAGAUCAAAAUGUACCAUGUCGUGUUAACGCAGAUUGAAAACAAAAUAGAUUAAAUCUAUUUUUUGUGAAGUUCCAAGAAAAAAAUUUAGUUAAAUACUACGUUUGAGAAGAACGAUCUACUUUUAUUUAGUCUUCAACGAGCUAGCGAGAUCAUCAGCCCGCCGCAAAUGCCAAAUGACUUUUUAACAUUUCAAGAUGUCGCCUCCUAAAUGGUACAGCCUAUUUGUUUGUAUUGCGCUACGUUGAUAGAAUACAUUUAUUCCUGCGCUUCUAUGCCGACAAAGCGAGAGAUGUUAUCCAGCGUUAACUUUUGAUAAUAUACUCAUAAUUAAAAGUUACAUAAAGUCCAUAGACUCAAACAAGAAUUUUGCAAAAAAGUAUGCGUGUUUUGUCUUAAAAAUAAUAUAUUUAUAAAAAAAUUUGAAAAAUGAAACUGUAAAUACGUUUUAAAAAGUAAAAAUCAUGAACUUUAAAUAUAUAUAUAUUUUUUUUUAAGUGGAGGAAAAUCUACCAACUUGAUAACUCUGUCAAAAAUACGUUGAAGAAACACGUGUUUUGUCAUAUGUAUUUUGUAGGAAGAGUUUAAUAAUUAUUUUGAAAUCUUGAACUAAA